rnacentral:rRNA from 1 species
AACGAAGAGGCUGGGAGAUUAUUAUUGGUUUAUAGUAAAUAUUUUAUAAAUGAGUGGUUAAUAAAGAUAACUAAGUGAAAUUUUUAUCUUUUAAUCUCUUAAUAUAUGAUGCUAUGAAAGUUAGGGUAUAAACUA